rnacentral:tRNA from 25 species
GGAAGUGGCGCAAUUGGUAGCGCAACGGUCUCCAAAACCGUAGGUUGUGGGUUCGAGUCCCGCCUUCCC